AUCCUGUAUGGAAGACAGGAGUGAUAUGAUCAUGAAGGUGGAUUUCCCAUGGGUGUGGUUCACUCAUUGCACUCUGAGUGUACUGACCCCAGCAACUGUGCCAAAUAUAGCAAAUUUAACUGCACAUUUGUGGUAGUGUGGAGACUAUGUUUACACUCUGCUGUU